AGGCUGGCGUGCAGUGGCAUGAUCUUGGCUCACUGUAACCUCCACCUACCAGGCUCCGGAAAUCCUCCCACCUCAGCCUUGUCACAUUUUAGUACAAUUUAUAAUAAUAAUUUUAAUUUUCUUUAUUGUUAUAUAUGUUAUAGUGACCUGUGAUUGGUGAUCUUUAAUGUUACUAUUACAAUUGUUUUGGAGUGCCAUGCGCCUUGCCCAUACCAUAUCAGAUGGUGAACUGAAGCAAGGUCUUAACGCUCUUCAAUUCUGUGAAGGCUGAGAGAGGUAAGGAAACCACAGGAGAAAAGUUUGAAGUUAGCUGUUCAUGAUGCUUAAGAAAAGAAGCCAUUUCCAUAACAUAAAAGCACAAGGU
rnacentral:lncRNA from 10 species